rnacentral:rRNA from 1 species
AGAGUUUGAUCCUGGCUCAGAACGUACGCUGGCGGCACGCCUAACACAUGCAAGUCGAGCGAGGUAGCAAUACCUAGCGGCAGACGGGUGCGUAACAUGUGGGAAUCUGCCUUUUGGUUCGGAAUAACACGGGGAAACCUGUGCUAAUACCGGAUAAGUCCUUACGGAGAAAGUUUUAAUGCCAAAAGAUGAGCCCGCAUUUGAUUAGUUUGUUGGUGAGGUAAUGGCUCACCAAGACUACAAUCAAUAGCUGAUUUGAGAGGAUGAUCAGCCACACUGGGACUGAGAUACGGCCCAGACUCCUACGGGAGGCAGCAGUGGGGAAUCUUGCACAAUGGGCGAAAGCCUGAUGCAGCGAUGCCGCGUGAGUGAAGAAGGCCUUUGGGUUGUAAAGCUCUUUUGUCGGGAAAGAUAAUGACUGUACCCGAAGAAUAAGGUCCGGCUAACUUCGUGCCAGCAGCCGCGGUAAUACGAAGGGACCUAGCGUAGUUCGGAAUUACUGGGCGUAAAGAGUAUGUAGGCGGCUAGAUAAGUUAAUUGUGAAAGCCCAAAGCUUAACUUUGGAAUUGCAAUUAAAACUAUUUAGCUAGAGUAUGAUAGAGGAAAGCGGAAUACAUAGUGUAGAGGUGAAAUUCGUAGAUAUUAUGUAGAACACCAGUUGCGAAGGCGGCUUUCUGGAUCAUUACUGACGCUGAGAUACGAAAGUAUGGGUAGCGAAGAGGAUUAGAUACCCUCGUAGUCCAUACUGUAAACGAUGAUUAUUAGAUGUGGGGAAUUAUUUCUCUGUAUCACAGCUAACGCGCUAAAUAAUCCGCCUGGGGAGUACGACCGCAAGGUUAAAACUCAAAGGAAUUGACGG